GUGGAUGUAGCCUAGUGAUAGGGCACUUGUCUACCAUGUACAAGUGUACAAGGCCCUAGGUUUAAUCCCUAGCACCACA
rnacentral:tRNA from 1 species